CCUAGCCAUUGGUGGUAUUUUGGGAGACAGGAAUGCUCUCUCUCUCUCUGCCUCUCAAAUAAACUUUCUAAAAAAAUUUUUUAAAUGAAUAGGCAUUUAUCCUUUUUAUCAUGUAGAUGAGAGAAGGAAAAAUACUAGUAGUCUACAAAUUUGACAGAACAAUGUUACAAAUAUACGAUAUAGAAAGAGAGAAAUAUCAAAAUUGACAUCAAAGGAGCAUCAGAUUAUUGAAUAAGGCAGGUCAUCAGAAUUACCAGGCUCUGUGGAGAUUACUUUUAAGGGUAUGACAAUGAUUUGCAGAAUCUUUGUUUGUAUUUCCUUCCAAGGAUACAUGUGUGAGGAUGAAGAGCAGAACCAGUUCGUGUAGUUAUAAAUAUUCACACAAAUCUCAUUGCCACAUCAAAUCAGAUUCUUUGGCCACAUAUUGUGACACAAGGAUGGUCACUGUUGUGUAGCUGCAGGGGAGAGCACAUCUCCUCCACCAGUUCCUUAGACUUCUCCUGCUAAUGAGGGAGACUUGCUUCCCUAAGAACCAACUCUGCAAUUCUACUUGUAACGUAAAGCAACCAUUCUGCCCACAAGAGCUCAAUUUUACUUGGGAAAAUGGAGAAAAAGAUGAACAUGAUUUUACACAAUAAAAAUAAAAUAAGGGGGCCGGGGCCAUGGCUCACUUGGUUAAUCCUCCGCUUGUGGCGCCGGCAUCCCAUGUGGAUGCCGGGUUCUAGUCCCGCCUGCUCCUCUUCCAGUCCAGCUCUCUGCUGUGGCCUGGGAGGGCAGCGGAGGAUAGCGCAGUGCUUGGGUCCCUGCACUCGCAUGGGAGACCAGGAGGAAGCACCUGCCUCCUGGCUUCGGAUCAGUGCAGCGCGCUGGCCCUAGUGGCCAUUUCGGGGGUGAACCAAUGGAGACCUUACUCUCUGUCUCUCUACUGUCUAACUUUGUCAAAUAAAAAAUGAAUAAAUAAAACAAAAUCAAAUGAAGCUUAUAAUAAAAAGAAGAUUAAAAACUAGGCCCUGAUAAGGAGAGAAAGGAGUCAAGCAGAAUCUACCUGUAGUAUAACUGGAAAACUAAAAGGCCCAGAGAGCUGAAUUACCUUUAGACUAGGUAUCCAUUAAGAUAAACUGCAUUACUCAGGACACAGGGAUAAUUUAUAAUUAAAAGAGUUCAUUUAGGGCCGGCGCCGCGGCUCACUAGGCUAAUCCUCCGCCUUGCGGCGCCGGCACACCGGGUUCUAGUCCCGGUCGGGGCGCCGGAUUCUGUCCCGGUUGCCCCUCUUCCAGGCCAGCCCUCUGCUGUGGCCAGGGAGUGCAGUGGAGGAUGGCCCAGGUGCUUGGGCCCUGCACCCCAUGGGAGACCAGGAAAAGCACCUGGCUCCUGGCUCCUGCCAUCGGAUCAGCGCAGUGCGCCGGCCGCAGUGCGCCGGCCGCGGCGGCCAUUGGAGGGUGAACCAACGGCAAAAGGAAGACCUUUCUCUCUCCUUUCUCUCUGUCUCUCUCUCACUGUCCACUCUGCCUGUCAAAAAAAAAAAAAAGUGAAAAAAGUAAAAACUUUUAUUUAUCAAAUGAUUCUGUAUUUUAAAAAAGUGAAAAGCAAGCCAAAGAAACAUUCCAGGGUUGAUACCAGCAUUGACUUCUGGAAAGCCCCACCUAUAACAUAUAUUAACAUAUAUGAUGCUGUUUAUAUUCAUGUAAAGUGUUAAAACAUGCAAAAAUUUGCUAUAUGGCUAUAAUAAAUAUUUAUUCAGAAUAGUGUGGGAGGGUUAAAGAUACACUUUGAGAGGGCUUGUCUGGAAACUUCAAAGGUUGGCCGGCGCCGUGGUUCACUAGGCUAAUCCUCUGCCUGCGACGCUGGCACCCCGGGUUCUAGUCCUGGUUGGGGUGCCGGAUUCUGUUCCAGUUGCUCCUCUUCCAGUCCAGCUCUCUGCUGUGGCCCGGGGAAGGCAGUGGAAGAUGGCCCAAGUGCUUGGGCCCUGCACCCACGUGGGAGACCGGGAGGAAGCACCUGGUUCCUGGCUUCGGAUCGGCACAGCGCGCCGGCUGUGGCUGUAGCGGCCAUUUGGCGGGGGGUGAACCAACGGAAGGAAGACCUUUCUGUCUCUCUCACUGUCUAACUCUGCCUGUCAAAAAAAAAAAAAAAAGAAAAAAAAAGAAACUUCAAAGGUAUCUGUAAUACUUUAUUUCUUAAGUCCAUAGUGGGUGUGGGGUAGUGAGUGUGGGUAGAUAUUAUCUCAUUUUUUGUACUUUUGGUAUUUAAAAAAUAAAAAAAAAAACAAUUAGGGGAAGUUAAACUGAAGAUUCAUAAGCUCUUGGGAGCCAAUCAAAAAAAUUAAAGUCAUUAUUAUUAUUAUUAUUAUUUGACAGGCAGAGCUAGACAGUGAGAGAGAGAGAGACAGAGAGAAAGGUCUUCCCUCCGUUGGUUCACCCCCCAAAUGGCCUCUAGGGACGGCGUGCUGUCCAGAGACAAUGAAAUAAAAUUAGAGAGAGAAAGUGAAAGAGAGAGUGAAAGCAGUAUCUUUCAUCUGCUGGUUCAAUCCCCAAAUAUCCCCAACUGCUAGAUCUGGGCCAGGCCAAAGCUAAGAGCCUAGAAAUUAAUCCAAGUCUCCCAUGUGGGUGGGAGAGACCCACCUACCCGGAUCAUCUGCUGCCUCCCAGGGUGCGUUAGGAAAGCUAGGACUGGAGCAGAGCCAAGACUUGAACUCAGGUCCACUGUGGGCUGUGGGUGUCCCAAGUGGUAUCAUAACCACUGUACUGAAUGCCUACCCCUAAUUUGUAAUUUAAAAUGUUAAUCUAUAAAUACAGCAUCAAUAUGUAUAAGCAGAAUUUAAGAGCUUGAAUAAAUGCAAUGCUAAUUAAAUCACAUGCAAGUACUUCACAUUGGCCUCUAAUUCUUUUAGACACUAAAAACACAGUGAAAAUAAUUUCUCCCGUUAUACAUGUGAACUAUGCCUCUGUUGCCUCUAAGGCAUGAGACCCAUGGAUGUGCUUACUGCACAACCAUUAACAUUAACUGAAUUAAGAAUUAAUCUCCCAAAAUGUAAGAUUUAUAUCUUAUAUAUUAACCCAGCUUUUGAAGUUAGACUUGCAUACACAUUUUAUCAGUUAACAAACAUAAAAUGCCUAUUCUGUGUCAGACACUAUUUUCAGAUGAUAUGGACAAGCUGUGAGUGAGCAAGAAACACAAAGUGCUCUUAAAUCAUCAGCAUGAUUUGUUUUAAGAGAACUUUUUUGCAUCACCAAAGUAUCUAAUUGCUAAUGUCUGACUAAGACAAAAUGCUUCUUUUUAAGUAGCCCAGCUAUUAGAGGUUCUAGAGGAUACUAUGGGUGGGGGUAAAAAAGAUUUAAUUUGAUUUCUGUUCAGUGUUGUAAUGGAAUUUUUGCUUCCAGACUGUUCACACAUGUCUAGUUUCCUGAAUGCACCAAGGAUUACAAGUUUAGAAUCAAAUAUUUCUGACCAUAAAAGUUAACUAUCCAAAUCUUUAGCCACAUUUAAACCUGCAUGAGAUCUAAGCAAGGAAAAACUCACUAACAGCAAUAUUUAUUGAGGUAGGAACAUAAAUUUUGAGAAGCACCCUAGAUACCUUAAAAUAUAGCACAAUAUUCCCAGUUUUCUUAAAUUCUUGUUAUUUCUUCUACUAUAGUUACUAUCAGCAACAGUCUCCAUUUUCAGGGUUUUGUUCUUUUUAUAGUAUUUAAUUUCCAAAACUCUAUCAAAGCUAAAAUUUGGAACUAUUUUAAAAUUUGCAAAAUCAUGAGUGAAUUUUUUUUAACAUUGGGGAAUAGAAGGAAUGUCAUAGGACUUGGAGGUUGACACACAUAAUUUGAUUAAUUAUUAUUCAGGGAUGGCAUGCAAAACUAAAAAUCCUAGUAAAGCAACCCUUCAAAUAGUUUGAUAUCUUCCAACAAGUAAACAAAGGCCUAGAAUGAGUUUUGUAAAUUUUCUUCAUUGUUAAAAUAGUUGUACUUAUGACAUACUUGUGUUGCAUUUAUACAUUUUAAUCUGUGCACUAAAUGAAUCACUAUUUAUUUUUGGCUAUUUUUGUGUUAUUCACACAGCAUAUACUUCCUGAGUGUGAAUUAUGUGCCAGACACCCUCAUAGGCCCUGGAGUGUGCAAAAACAGAAUUCCUCUCCUCCUUUAACUUCUAGUCAAGUAGGGAAGAGAGACAUCAAUCAAAAAAUUACCAAACCAAUCAAUAAUGUGAUGAUGACAAGAGCUAGGAAGGGGAGUCCAUAGCACUUACUGACUUGGACAUUUGAUUUCAUCAGAAAAGGAGGUUGGUCUAGGCUUCUUGGGUGAAGCAGCCUUUAGGAUGAGGCCUGGGGUGCUUGGAGUUAUUAGGUAAAGCAGGGAAGGAAGAAGAUUCUUGACAGAGGGCCCUAAAUGCAUGGAUAGACCUGAGACUGAAGGACAGUCAGAUUCCAAAACACAUGAGAGGAAUGGGGAGACAGGUGAGGAUCUGAUCCUAAGACCCUUGAAGGCACAGUGAGGAGUUUGUAUUUCACUUCACAUGUGUGCAUUUGAGAGCCCUCCCUCCUCUGCAAUGUGGAGACCAGAUGGGACAGGGACCAGAGUGGGAGAGCAGGGACCACUCAGGAAGCAGAGUCAGUCGUCUGAGUGGGAGACGAUGGCAGGGAUAGUGUCAUUAGUAGAACUAGAGAUAUUUUGGAGUUGGAAUUGACAAGACUUUGCAAUGGGUUGAUAAUAAGAAAUCUGGGUUGCAUUUGUGGUCAAAUGUGUUAAUAAUGAAAUACAAUUAACUGUACAAUUAAAACUAACAAUGAAAUCAAAGUAAGUUUAAUUAGUACACAUAAAUCUACACAGUAGAAAGCUUAAUAACUUUAUUAGAUGACAUUAUGUCAGUAAAAAUUACUUUGGUUUUAUAGUGUAGAUUGAAUUCUCAUCUCUUGUAUCAAAAAAUUUACUUUUACCACAUUGGCUGCCCUUGUCCCUCUUCUCUAAAUGUUUCUCACUUAAAACUAAAGUUAAUCUCAUUGCUUUCAUUUUUUGUUAAAUUUGUGUAAAUUUUUACUCUUCUAAAUAUGAACUCCCGUUUUUAUAAACUCAUUUUUCAACCCAAAUUUUUACUGGAUUAAGUAUGAAACCUACCAACUGAAGGCAUUGGUAUUCACUUUGACUUAAAUUUAUCCCGAUAUAUAUGAAACUAUAGAAACUUCACAACUGGACUAGCUUUUUAAACCCAAAGAAAUUGCAAAUCCUUUUGCACUGUGUCCUUCAUGAAUAUAAGGUUAACAUAAUGUAAUCUGUUCAUCUUUUCCUGUUUGAGACUGAGUCAACUUUAAUGGAAAUUACACAUCCACUGGGGAAGAGGAAGCUAAUUUAAUGUGAAAGGCAGCAGCCACACAGUGCAGGGCCUCACCACGUCUAUUCCCCAUUCAUUCUCAUUAAGAUUGUGUGGCAGGGCAGGCCUAUUUCUCCCUUCCUUCCUUUCUUUUCCAGCCUCCCUCCUAGAAGGGGGUCUUUUCUAUUUGAAAAAGGAGCCCAGCAUAAUUACCUGAGCAUGUGCGCUAUACUGGUGAGCAGUAUCCACAAGAGGAGAGGGGAAAAUUGGUCUGGUGGAGAAUUUUCCUUCUCCAAAGGACCUAUGCUUCUCUCAUGAAGCACAGAUGCUGCCCCUUCAGCCUCUGUUGAGUGGAAAACCAAAACAAUUGAUGGACUAGGAUUGGGGUUGGGGAAGAGGAAGAGGUAGGUCACAAACACAGAGCGAACAAAGAAAGCAGAGACUGCCAAACACCUCUCUGAUGUGGUUUCUAAGUCCUGAGAGAGGACUUGAUGCAAAAAGCAUACAUCUGUUUAGUGCCUUUGUGUAUUUGUGAUCUGAUUACGUAAUGAUAGAUUUUUCUUUCUGGUGAGGAACAGUACCUUCACACCCUUCCAGAUGUUAUAGGCUUAACCAAGAGUUUACACCUACUAUUAAUGCUGUGAAUUACUUCUACUUUUCCAAGGACUUAGAUUUAGAAUCUGACAUCCCCCUUUAUGGUACCUGGGCUGAUAGAUCUAUUUUGAUACCUUGUUUUAUAAUACCAUGAAUUGUUAUCAUUUUUACUACUAGUCAUCUUAAUGAUUUAGUACCCUUGGGAUGUUGCAACACAUGGUUUGUUCUUUAGUUAAAUAUGAUGUUUAUUCCAGUCUACAUCUAGUAACUCAAAGCCUGGCACCCUGAUUAGUUUUUAUAAAAGACACUAAAUAAUUCCAUAGUCAUUGGAUGACAGCCAGCUGUACAAGUGAACCAGACAGACUGUAAAACUUUAUGUACCUGUCACACUUGUAGAUUUCUUGGAACAAAGCAGUCCUAGCUUUGCAUUGUGCAUAAGUUACCAUGCCUUGCCCCACCUGAUCCUAUUGCCUUGGCCACAGAAAGGCUAGACCCUGGAAAUUUGCAAAGCACCGCCCAGUAACAAUCCUUUGUACUGAAUCACAGUUAACAAGUAGGUCAGGUUCCACUUCAUUGAGAGCUUACGUUCAAGAUGCGCAGAGAGUGAAGAGGAAGCCGUAGAAGAAGAUGUAUUGUGAAUAGCGGAGUCACUAUACUAGGCAGAAGUCAGAGUCCACUUGGAGUCCAAUCUCAAAAGCUAUUGAAACCAGGAAUUACCAGUGGGACUGUGGAUCAUCUUUGUCUUGGGACAAUGGUCCAAUUCUCCAGUUAGGUUGGACUGUGCUGACAUAUCUCUGGGUCUUUCCCAAUCUCCAUAUUGUCUUAGUUUCUGCUGCUGUAACAAAACACAAUAGAUAGGGGGUAAUUUAUAAAUAAUAGAAACGUAUUAAAGUUCUAGAGGCUAGAUGAUCUAAGAUCAAGUGAGCUGGCAGACUCGGAGUCUGGUGAGGGCCUUUUGUCAUAUGGAAUUGUCUUGCUGUGAAUUCUCUUGGCAGAAGGGCAAAAAAGAGGUCCCAGAGUAGUCCUUUCAACCUCUUUUAUAAGAACACUGCAUGACUUAAUCACUUUGCCAAAGGCCCCUCCAUUUCAUAAUAUUAUCACCUUGGGUUUUAAGUUCUACCACAUGAAUUUUGGAGGGAUACCUACAUUUAAUACACAGCACCUAUCAUCUGAGAUAAAACACUGUCUUUUCAUUCCAACCUGAAAAGACCUUCUUCAUACAGCAUGUGUAUAGCCUUGGCCUAUAGACUUGCAGAAUUGCAGAAUGAUAGGACUAACAGGGACUGGAGAGGCCAUACAUUUGUAGCCUUAGAAAUCCUAUUCAGAAGAAAGUAUAAAUGGAAAUCCAAUGUAUCAAUAAAAUCAGAACUGGUGUGGUGGCAGCAAGAGUGGGAAGAUGGGAACCCUGAUAGCUGAAAUGCCCUUUCUCCCACAUUGAGCUCACUCCUUGGAGAAUAUCCUGAAAACUACAAUUCUAGUUGAAACUUGAUAUUUUAUAAAUAAGGAAAAUCCCUACAAGUAGUGUAAGACAGCAAGAAUAAGAAUCCAUUUACGGUUGGUGCCAUGGCUCAAUAGGCUAAUCCUCCGCCUGUGGCGCCAGCACCCGGGGUUCUAGUCCCGGUUACUCCUCUUCCAGUCCAGCUCUCUACUGUGGCCCAGGAGUGCAGUGGAGGAUGGCCCAAGUGCUUGGGCCCUGCACCAGGAUGGGAGACCAGGAAGAAGCACCUGGCUCCCAGCUUCGGAUCGGCGUGGUAUGCCGGCCGCAGCAGCCAUUGGAGGGUGAACCAACGGUAAAGGAAGACCUUUCUCCCUUUCUCCCUGUCUCUUUCUCUCGCUGUCCACUCUGCCUGUCAGAAAA